GUCCACGCCCUAAACGAUGUCAACUAGUUGUUGGGGAUUCAUUUCUUCAGUAACGUAGCUAACGCGUGAAGUUGACCGCCUGGGGAGUACGGUCGCAAGAUUAAAACUCAAAGGAAUUGACGGGGACCCGCACAAGCGGUGGAUGAUGUGGAUUAAUUCGAUGCAACGCGAAAACCUUACCUACCCUUGACAUGCCACUAACGAAGCAGAGAUGCAUUAGGUGCCCGAAAGGGAAGUGGACACAGGUGCUGCAUGGCUGUCGU
rnacentral:rRNA from 1 species